UGCGCCUUCUGCCCAGCUCUUUCUCUGUAAAAGAGAUCAGUGACUCUUAUUUAGAGUUUUUCUCUUUCUCUCACACUUGUAUGGUUUGUGAAUCUCUCUCUUAGCUAGAACUUCUUUGGAGGCGAUGUAUGAUUUCUUCAAUUUCUCUGCUAUUUUCUUAAAAAAAAAAGGGAAUCUUAUUUCUAUGCGCAAAGUCUAGUGUGGUUCAACUCAUUAUCAUUAUUUUUUGGGUUCCUCAUUUACGGGUUUUGUGUUUGUUGAGGGAAUUAAAAGGGUAACCAUUGCUACUUUUCAUUGUUUUAGUGUUAGGUUUGGGAGGUCUAAGGUCAUUGUUUUUGCUCCUUGCUCCUUGUUUUUUGUUGUUUUAUAUUAUAAUUUUGUAACUUUGAUUGGUGGGUAUAUUUUCAUUAAAUGCAUUUGUUAUUGGAUCUAGGUGUUGAGUCUUAAUGCUUGAUGUAAUGCAUAUGACGGUGCUGGUACUUGAUUUGAUGUCAAGCUUGCUCUUUUUUUUUUUAUCGACUGUAAUUAGAGCAAGAAUUUGGCAUUUUUGUUUUUCCUGCUGCUUCGAAAGUUACUUGGAUAAUUGUGGAAUAAGGCCUUGAGAAAAUGCUUCUUUUUUAGAUCAUUAUGCUUAAGUUGGGAUUAGUUUUAGUCCAAUGGUUGUUUUGAUUUUGUGGUUUUGUCAUUUUCGGAUUCAUUUUCUUUUCCAGAGCAUUACCCAGACAUUCUCAAAAGGAUUAAGAAUCGUGUUAUUUAUUAAUGGCAAUGGGCAUGUUAUCAAGAAUUUCGUUUUAUGACAAAUUUGAAGCCAGCAAUGUCACUAGUUUCAUCUCUCCUUUGCCAAUAAUUAGACAAACUAAAUAAAUUACAAUCUAUAUAUAAUUGUGCUUUUGAUUUGCAUUAACUUGGCUACAAAGUACAUUUGAUUGAUUUGUAUUGAAUAUUCUAUUCUAUUCUAAUUGUAUUGGAACAUGGAAGUGUUUUCUGCCCAUUUUACUCACUAGCAUUCUGGUCUCUUUAUGAAGCAACUGACCUUUAUUUUCCUGAAUGCGUGCUUAUUUCCCGUGGUGGAUUUUGUAAUGGUGUCUGGUGUCAUUGAAAUCUUAUAAUGUGGUUUGUUGUUUAGAAUUUAUCUUCCUUUCUUUUUAACUGAUGCUUGUAACCAAAGAACCUGCCCUCCCUCUUUUUGGUAUAAGGAAAAUUACUAUAUCUCAUAUUUUCGUAGAUAUUUAUUUUCUUGGUUGAUAUACUGGUCGUCCUACUUUGUUCAUUUCACUUCAAUUAAAUUUUCCUCCAGUUGGCUUGUUUUACUCACAGAAGAAUUUCUAAUGCAGGAUCUUGCUAAGCUCGGUUAUCACAGAUUUCUCUAUUUUGAUGAAUUUUGAUGAGCGUACGUGAAUGGCUAUUGAAGUUGGUUUGUGAUUAUGAUGCAGAUGGGGUGAGGAUGUUGGUCUAGCAGUUUGUUAAUUGAUAUAACUCUCUUCUUGAUUCUGUUCUUUGCUAGAUUGGGAACUAAUUAUAACAUGUACUCGAAAAAAUCUACUUGUCCAGUGGAUAUAGUUGAAUGGGUUUCAGUAACUUCUCAUGAAGACUUUGUCUUUGGCUUUCGAAAUUUUGUGUUGAGGCAUGUAUAAAAUUAGUGGGCAGAUGUAUAAUAAAGUGGUUUGUGGAACUUAAUAAGAGUAGUUUAUAUCAGUUAUCAAGUACAUAGAAUAUGCAGAUGCUAGUUUCACCUUAAGGACCAAAGCACAAUAUUCAAGCCCAGGCUUGGAAAUUUGCAUCUGGUGUUCCAAAAAGACCAUUGGCUUUUUGUGCAAGAAAGGUCCUUGGCAGAUGUAGAUUCAGCAUUGGCACCACUACUUAAGAACAAAGGAGGUAACAUUAAUUCAAGGAACACGUCUGGCCUGACUCUUCAUUUGCAACUUGCAUCUCAUUGCUGGUGCUGAUCCUGAUGCAAAGGGGAACUGCAGCAGAAUAGUUCCCAUAGUCCAAAGACAAGAACAGCUAGAUUCUCAAUUGUAUCUAGCCAGGAAUCACUAUCAGAUUCUCCUGCUGCAAACCUGAGAUCAGCACUCCCUCAUCAAUUCGUUCAAUUCAGAUUGAGAAGAAGGCUAUGGAGGACUCGGAAGAGUUUCUACAGCAGUGUCAAUGUUGUAAAGAACCCAGCUUUAAAGGAAUGACCUUUGCGACUUGCUUUGGCAUGUAGCACGUAGGCUCCUCAUUGUUAACGCUCCUUUUUCCAGUACAUUACUCAGGUAGGCUUGUGUUUUGAAGAGGAAUACGCUGCCAUUUUCAAGAUUCAGUCCUAAGAUCAGACUACUAAACAUCUUGAUUUUAAAUCUAUUUGCAUUCUCAUGAUUGUCAGGUUUGCUGAAGUGGGUACAUCAAGUUGAUGUCAAACUCUAUAUUCAUAUGCCUUGUUCAUCAAGUAGGUUAAUGAAGAAAAGAAAAGAAAAUCAAGAUUGAUUUUGCUGUGAGUCGUUGGAACCCACUAGGAAAAAAAUUGAGAAAAACAAAGAAAAGAAAAUGAUGAAAAGGGUUUUGUGGGUGUACACAUGUUGAAGAAGCAAAGUGAUGAUGGACCCACAAAGAGAGUAAUCAUGGUUGUCUCCAAUAGAAGAGUAAGUGGGGGAUGACCCAGAGCAAAAGACUAGUUGCCAAACACAAAUAGCCAAUGAAGUUCACUUCCUUUGGGCCAAAAAAGAGAGACAUGGUCAGUCAAAAAUCAUGUGAAGAUUGAGAUCUCAUUACUCUUUUUGAUUUCUCAUAUCAAAAGGAUACAUGUGUGUAUGCAAUAAAGAAACGAAAAGAUAGAUUGGAAAUGAAGUGGAGCCCUCAUGGAAGAGUAGGUCGAGUACUAGGGAGAAAGUAAAACAUGAACAAUAGUGCUUUGAUUUGAUCACUCCAUGAAGAUUGCUUCUUUUAGCUCUCUCUUUUGGAGGAUAAUUUCCUCAAUAGUUUGGAAAAUUCAUGUGAUCUUUUCAUGGGAUUUAUGAUAAGCAGCUCAUGUUAUGUUGUGAU